ACGGAAUAAAAGGAUAAAGGUACAAAUUCAAUAGAAUUUGUUUAAAAGGGAAGAACGGUGAAAAGCCGUCGCUGUCCCGCAACUGUAAUUGGGAGCACAUUUUAAAAACCACUGUUAUGUAUGUAAUGGGAAGGGAAAAAUGUGUGAUGAUCAUAAGCCAGGAGACCUGCCUUUAUCUAGUACAGCCA
rnacentral:ncRNA from 2 species